rnacentral:rRNA from 1 species
AUUGAACGCUGGCGGCAUGCCUUACACAUGCAAGUCGAACGGUAACGCGGGGCAACCUGGCGACGAGUGGCGAACGGGUGAGUAAUGCAUCGGAACGUGCCCAGUAGUGGGGGAUAACUGCUCGAAAGAGCAGCUAAUACCGCAUACGACCUGAGGGUGAAAGCGGGGGAUCGCAAGACCUCGCGCUAUUGGAGCGGCCGAUGUCAGAUUAGGUAGUUGGUGGGGUAAAGGCCCACCAAGACAACGAUCUGUAGCUGGUCUGAGAGGACGACCAGCCACACGGGGACGGAGACACGGCACAGACUCCUACGGGAGGCAGCAGUGGGGAAUUUUGGCCAAUGGACGCAAGUCUGAUCCAGCCAUGCCGCGUGCGGGAAGAGGGCCUUCGGGUUGUAAACCGCUUUUGUCAGGGAAGAAACGCUCUGGGUUAAUACCUCGGGGUAAUGACGGUACCUGAAGAAUAAGCACCGGCUAACUACGUGCCAGCAGCCGCCGUAACAC